AUUCCAAACCCUAAUUUUUUCCAUCUCUCUCUCGUUCUCUAUCUCUUCCACUUUUUUUUUUUUCUCGCUAAUCGCUCAGCGUUCUGAUCGCAGAUCGUCGGAGAUUUUAAGGUGUAAUGGCACUUUAUGAAGCACUUCUGCUGUAGGAAAGCCAUUUUGAUGACUGGGAACUGCAUGUAAGUAAAGCGGAGAACGAUUUCGUGAGUAUCUACCUCCUCUAACUGAAUUAUCUUCUGGUUUCAACUCAAUUGUAUCGAACAAGGGUUUGUCUUUUGCAUUUUUGGUGAAUAGAAUUUGGCUUUGAUAUUCCUAACAGAGAUGUGUCUUGUUACCUAUCGUGAACAUAUAAUUAAGUGCUACUAGUUUGAUUAAUUUAUGCCAUUUUUGUUCAAGGAUUUUUGUGUUUCAUUUAUUGUACUCUUGAUCUAUUGUUUUCUUUAUCAGCUAAUGGUGCUCUGUUUUAUGCGAAUGUUUCUUUGUCUGUGAAUGAUAAUUAGUGGGUGGUGGUGAAAACUAAAUGGAAUAAUAUAACUUUUGCACUUAACUGAAUAACAAGGUAAGGUCUAUCUUUUUAUUUCUUUGCAGAUAUCCUAGGUAUCCUCCAUAGGAGACAGUCAUGCUUGAACUUGGUAGGACUUGGACAACAAAGUUCUUCCUUCGAGUAUUUGAUACACCUAUAUACUCAAGGUUUGAAUUCAAGAUACAAUAUAUCAAAUUCUAAUUGUUGGCUUAUUGCAAUUUUUGAAUGGGAAAAAAAUACAAAUAAAAGUACGGAACUAAAUAUGUCAGUGAUAAUAAUCUUAAACUCCUCUUAUCCUCUAAACAAUCUUGUAGAGAAUCCAGUAUUUUGGCGUUUAGAUGGCUUUAUUUUGGAUGAAUGGGUCAGUAUCAGCCACUCUAAACUUUGUAACUGGGCUUUGCUUAUGUUUUGACAGAUUAUCUUUCUUAAUAUUUAUAUACAUUCCUAUUGGAUGAAUUUGUAGGCAUUUAAAAAUAAAAAGGUAUAAUAGAUACUGGUAGACCACAGACAUAAAUUAUUGUUUAUAAGUUCCUUCUCAACUAUCAGUUUAGUUUGGUUGUAUUUCUUUAUCAAAGCCCAUAUUUAAGAUUUCGAAGCUAGACUUAAACCAGUCCAUGCAUACCCAUUACAUAUGAAGCUUUUGAAUAUAUUGUUGUAAUUAAUCGUUGUAACUUGUUAAAUAAGAUGAGAACAGAAGACAAGUAAACAUCUUAAGACACAAUGGAAUCUGACAAAUUUGCCAUAAUAUAUAUGACCCAUGCAUAAUAUUGUGAAAAAGGGAUCAUAUUUUGCUUGAAAUUUUUUGUUCUGUAAUGAUGGUUCUAUGAACUUGGAGGUAUUGAAUCUAAGUUUACUUGGACUUAGUCUUAAGUGUUGGUUGUAUUCUUGUAUCUGACACAUGUAUGCACAAUUUUUUCUCUUGGAGAAUCAUAGCCAUGAAUGCUUAUUUUUAGUGUAUGACAUCUUAAAGUAUAGGGAAAAGAUUGUUUAAAGGUUCAAUUAAUCUGAUCAGCACCCAAGUGCUUGGGGAACCUUCCCUUAAAGUAUCAAGGUGAACAUGAUUGUUCUUGCACAAUUCAGUGGACCAAUCACCACUCUGGGAGCCACUUGACUUGUGUUUGUGUUUGACCAUGGGAGUCAGUGGGUCUUCAACUGUGAUGGAGCUUGGUUUCAUACAAAUGCUGGCCAAGCUCCCACCACCACUAGAGCUGCUAGACUUUGGCGCUCAUACAGUGCCCAAUAUUAAGCUGGCUGUUAAGAGGGUAUAGCCGCGCUAGUUAAGUAUUUCACUAAGCAUGUCAUACUAUUCUAUGCAAAACUUAGGCUACUUUCGGUUCCACAGAAGGAAAAUAAAAAUAAAAAAUGAAAUAGGGUGAAAACUGUACUUUUUCGUUUGAGGACAAAGAAAAAUAAGAAAAAAAUCUAGAAGAAUAAGAAAUCAUCAUGCCAUAAUAGUUCACCAUUCAACUUAGUAAUUGAGGGUUGGUUUAUGGAAAAAAUAUAAAAAAUGUAAAUCUGUCUUUAUUUAGGCCAAAUGUCUAGUUUAGGGUUCUCUUAAAAUAUUUGGAGACCCUUUUCUAAUAAUGAAAAUUGGACCCUUCCAACACUCUGCUUUGUGCCAAGGGCAUCAGGCUUGGAGUGUGACAAGUGUAAGUGACCCAUCAAUGAAUUUAGGAUAAACUUUGAUAUCACUUUAUAAUUUGUGUUUAGAGUCUAAUUCAAACCCACAAAACUAACUUGUUAGGUGAAAAUUAUCCAAGUUUUGUAAAUUUUAUUUAAGCCAUAUCUUUAGUUGAUGCGCUACUAGAUCCCCACCCUUGAAAUUGCAAUUAAGACAACCUCUGAAGAGUCUGCUAGCAAGACAAGCUAGGAUUUAAGCUGUAUUUCCAACAAAAACUGUGGUAUAUUGAAUGCUAAUUGGAAGCUUUAUCCAUCAAAACUAUUUUUUUUAAUGUCUGAUAAAAUUAUUGUUUGAAGGACUGAGUUUUGUGUUGUAAGACAACCUUUGGCUCUUGAAUUGAAUUUGUGCGUAAUUAAAAUGAACUGAAUUUUUCGCUAGUUACAUAUUCUUACUUCAAGAUGUCUCUUGUAUUUUGUAGAUGAGCAUGGGCCGUGAACGUAGUUCUCAUAGCCCUCUCAUAACAAACAUCUAGUGGUUAACUAGUCAUUUAAAAGAGGUACAUUUAUUGCUUCUCCUGCUUGUUAUUUUUCCUAUCAUAUGUAUAUGUAUGUGUAUUUAUAUAUAUUGUAGGAGAAUAAUUAAACCUACAUGACAUGAAUGAAUAAACUUUUGUUAUUGAUUUCUGCUAUUUGUGUUUAUUAUCAACUAUUUAUACUGAUAAAAAUGCAAUAGUUACUAUUGAUUUUAAUAUAAUGUCAGCAUGUUUUUAAUGAAUGUAUGUUUCAUGCUUGAAUAGAAAUGCUUUACAGGUCAAUCCCGCUUGUUAUGGGAUUUCAUAUCCUAAACUGAAAAUUCUUCUAUUUUCUUUGUAACAUUCUGUAUAUACUUUUCAUGUUAGAAAAAAGACUACUUGAAGGUGCUGAGACAUGCUAUUCAAUGAUCUUUUGUUACUCAGGAGCCAACAAUUACCUUAGGAAGUUGGAUCUUCAAUAUUAUUAGCUUUUGAUGGUAAAUAUCUUAGCUGCAUGUCCCAUUAUUAUUGUUUUCAUUUUCCUCUCUUUGCUAACCUACUUGCUGUAAAAUGCAAUCUGGCUUGAAGAGGACGAGGUGCAUGUUCCUUUUGAUCAAAUCCUCUGACACAAACAAAUCCUGAAAUGAAGCAUGAAAUUGUUAAGAACCAUUACAAGGUUGGUAGAUGCAGAUGAGUACUAAUCACUGAAUGAAGCAUCUAGAAUGUGGCUCAAUAUUUCCGGAAACUAUAUCGGUUGACUAGUUGUAUAUUGUAUCACUUGGAAAUGAUGAUACAUACAUUGACACAAACAUCUGGAUUUAUCUUUUUAUUGGAGAAGGUAAUCACGUAGUUGUGGAAUUUGAAGGUGUAGAUGAUGGUUUAAUAUGACAUUGUUAUAAAUGUUGUGAGAAUAGCUUAUGAUUAUUAUUUAUCAUUUUCCUUAAUUGUUGACAUUUGAUAGUUAUGAAAAUUUUGCUAAACCUAGAGUUACACCCUAGUCUAGUAAUUUAUUUUGGUCCCUGGUGAAUUGGCUUCCGAUACUGAAUUGGUGAUCAUUUGGAAGAGAUAACUGGUGCAUUAUAUUUUUUAGCAAAUCCAUUGCCAAA
rnacentral:lncRNA from 1 species